UGGGGAAUAUUGGGCAAUGGAGGAAACUCUGACCCAGCCAUGCCGCGUGAAUGAUGAAGGCCUUAGGGUUGUAAAGUUCUUUUGCCAGGGAAGAUGAUGACGGUACCUGGAGAAUAAGCACCGGCUAACUUCGUGCCAGCAGCCGCGGUAAUACGAAGGGUGCUAGCGUUGUUCGGAAUUACUGGGCGUAAAGCGUGCGCAGGCGGUUUAUCAAGUCAGAGGUGAAAUUCCGGGGCUCAACCCCGGAACUGCCUUUGAAACUGGUUAACUAGAGUCUCGGAGGGGUUAGGGGAAUUCCUAAUGUAGCAGUGAAAUGCGUAGAUAUUAGGAGGAACACCAGUGGCGAAGGCGCCUAACUGGACGAGUACUGACGCUCAUGCACGAAAGCGUGGGGAUCAAA
rnacentral:rRNA from 1 species